rnacentral:rRNA from 1 species
AACGAACGCUGGCGGCGUGGAUUAGGCAUGCAAGUCGAACGGUAUCAUCCUUUCGGGGGUGAGAGAGUGGCGAACUGGUGAGUAACACGUAGGUUAUCUACCCUCAAGACGGGGACAACCCAGGGAAACUUGGGCUAAUACCGGAUGUGAGCAACUUUUAGUUGUUUGAAAGGUGGCGUAAGCUGUCGCUUGGGGAUGAGCCUGCGUCCUAUUAGUUAGUUGGUGAGGUAACGGCUCACCUAGGCAAUGAUAGGUAGGCGGCCUUAACGGGUGGUCGCCCACACUGGGAUUGAGAUACGGCCCAGACUCCUACGGGAGGCAGCAGUCGAGAAUAGUCUACAAUGGUCGGAAGACUGAUAGUGCGACGCCGCGUGAACGAUGAAUCCCUUCGGGGUGUAAAGUUCUUUUAUAUGUGAGCAGUGCUUCUUAUAUUAACAGUAUGGGGAGAGAGAUAUUAGCAUAUGAAUAAGCAACGGCUAACUCCGUGCCAGCAGCCGCGGU